CUGCACCUGAGCCCGAAAUUGUCCCCAACAAACCCAACACCCGCAGGGCUGACGUUUGGACUCCGGGGUGCGGUGUCGAUGAAAUGGGCACCGCGUGCUUUCCAUGCAAAAGACACGAAGUCUGGAGUUUAUGGAAUUAUUGAAGGAAAGCCGCGCCAGUGCCAAGAGAUCAUGGCCCAGAGCUGGCAGAACUGAUCAGACCAAUGCUGAGCAAAAGGCCUGAAGAAGACCAUCUGGAGGAGCAUCCCGAGGGCCUUCCCCAAAGCACCAGAUCGCCUUCCUUUCCGAGGCCACAAAGGCGAGAACUUCCAGAAAUAGCAUGAAACACGGUGGCUUGGUGACAUCCAAGCCUGCUGCCACCGUGGUUUCCGGGAAGGCAGAAUCAAGGCAUGAAGUAAUCCACGCCAACCACGCUCCUCUGAGGGCUGAGCAAGACAUCGAUAGUGGGUGAAGGCAAGUGUUUGUCCCAGGAGAGGCCCAGGGUGGUUGGUCCCUUGAAGUCACCCGCCAGUCUGAAGGCCCAGGGGACUUGAGCAAUACCAAGAACUGGCCACGGUCAGUAGGGUAAAUAUUGGCAUCUUACCUGCAGAAGGGAGGGAUGCAGCGAGCGAGG
rnacentral:lncRNA from 1 species